UUUGAAGCUCGCUUUUAACAUAUGCUAAAAUUGGAACAACACAGUGAAAAUUAACAUGCAGUGAUGAUACUCAAAUUUAUGAAGUAUUCCACACUGUU
rnacentral:snRNA from 1 species